rnacentral:rRNA from 1 species
AUCCUCCAAGGCUAAAUACUCCUGACUGACCGAUAGUGAACCAGUACCGUGAGGGAAAGGCGAAAAGAACCCCGGCGAGGGGAGUGAAAAAGAACCUGAAACCGUGUACGUACAAGCAGUGGGAGCCUCUUUAUGGGGUGACUGCGUACCUUUUGUAUAAUGGGUCAGCGACUUAUAUUCUGUAGCAAGGUUAACCGAAUAGGGGAGCCGAAGGGAAACCGAGUCUUAACUGGGCGUUAAGUUGCAGGGUAUAGACCCGAAACCCGGUGAUCUAGCCAUGGGCAGGUUGAAGGUUGGGUAACACUAACUGGAGGACCGAACCGACUAAUGUUGAAAAAUUAGCGGAUGACUUGUGGCUGGGGGUGAAAGGCCAAUCAAACCGGGAGAUAGCUGGUUCUCCCCGAAAGCUAUUUAGGUAGCGCCUCGUGAACUCAUCUCGGGGGGUAGAGCACUGUUUCGGCAAGGGGGUCAUCCCGACUUACCAACCCGAUGCAAACUGCGAAUACCGGAGAAUGUUAUCACGGGAGACACACGGCGGGUGCUAACGUCCGUCGUGAAGAGGGAAACAACCCAGACCGCCAGCUAAGGUCCCAAAGUCAUGGUUAAGUGGGAAACGAUGUGGGAAGGCCCAGACAGCCAGGAUGUUGGCUUAGAAGCAGCCAUCAUUUAAAGAAAGCGUAAUAGCUCACUGGUCGAGUCGGCCUGCGCGGAAGAUGUAACGGGGCUAAACCAUGCACCGAAGCUGCGGCAGCGACACUAUGUGUUGUUGGGUAGGGGAGCGUUCUGUAAGCCUGUGAAGGUGUACUGUGAGGUAUGCUGGAGGUAUCAGAAGUGCGAAUGCUGACAUAAGUAACGAUAAAGCGGGUGAAAAGCCCGCUCGCCGGAAGACCAAGGGUUCCUGUCCAACGUUAAUCGGGGCAGGGUGAGUCGACCCCUAAGGCGAGGCCGAAAGGCGUAGUCGAUGGGAAACAGGUUAAUAUUCCUGUACUUGGUGUUACUGCGAAGGGGGGACGGAGAAGGCUAUGUUGGCCGGGCGACGGUUGUCCCGGUUUAAGCGUGUAGGCUGGUUUUCCAGGCAAAUCCGGAAAAUCAAGGCUGAGGUGUGAUGACGAGGCACUACGGUGCUGAAGCAACAAAUGCCCUGCUUCCAGGAAAAGCCUCUAAGCAUCAGGUAACAUCAAAUCGUACCCCAAACCGACACAGGUGGUCAGGUAGAGAAUACCAAGGCGCUUGAGAGAACUCGGGUGAAGGAACUAGGCAAAAUGGUGCCGUAACUUCGGGAGAAGGCACGCUGAUAUGUAGGUGAAGUCCCUCGCGGAUGGAGCUGAAAUCAGUCGAAGAUACCAGCUGGCUGCAACUGUUUAUUAAAAACACAGCACUGUGCAAACACGAAAGUGGACGUAUACGGUGUGACGCCUGCCCGGUGCCGGAAGGUUAAUUGAUGGGGUUAGCGCAAGCGAAGCUCUUGAUCGAAGCCCCGGUAAACGGCGGCCGUAACUAUAACGGUCCUAAGGUAGCGAAAUUCCUUGUCGGGUAAGUUCCGACCUGCACGAAUGGCGUAAUGAUGGCCAGGCUGUCUCCACCCGAGACUCAGUGAAAUUGAACUCGCUGUGAAGAUGCAGUGUACCCGCGGCAAGACGGAAAGACCCCGUGAACCUUUACUAUAGCUUGACACUGAACAUUGAGCCUUGAUGUGUAGGAUAGGUGGGAGGCUUAGAAGUGUGGACGCCAGUCUGCAUGGAGCCGACCUUGAAAUACCACCCUUUAAUGUUUGAUGUUCUAACGUUGACCCGUAAUCCGGGUUGCGGACAGUGUCUGGUGGGUAGUUUGACUGGGGCGGUCUCCUCCUAAAGAGUAACGGAGGAGCACGAAGGUUGGCUAAUCCUGGUCGGACAUCAGGAGGUUAGUGCAAUGGCAUAAGCCAGCUUGACUGCGAGCGUGACGGCGCGAGCAGGUGCGAAAGCAGGUCAUAGUGAUCCGGUGGUUCUGAAUGGAAGGGCCAUCGCUCAACGGAUAAAAGGUACUCCGGGGAUAACAGGCUGAUACCGCCCAAGAGUUCAUAUCGACGGCGGUGUUUGGCACCUCGAUGUCGGCUCAUCACAUCCUGGGGCUGAAGUAGGUCCCAAGGGUAUGGCUGUUCGCCAUUUAAAGUGGUACGCGAGCUGGGUUUAGAACGUCGUGAGACAGUUCGGUCCCUAUCUGCCGUGGGCGCUGGAGAACUGAGGGGG